rfam:Absidia glauca strain CBS 101.48 genome assembly, contig: contig_9
GCCGGGAUAAUUUAAUGGUAAAAUGUUUAUCUCAUACAUAAAACUUGGAAGUUCAAAUCUUCCUCCCGGUA